ACAAUACCAGAAAGAAUAAUGCAGUACUAUGCUGAAACCGGCGUAGUGUUUGGUGGCGCUGUAGAGCUGCGAUGUGUUUGUUGUCUCCGAAGACCCGUCAAGAUGUCUGACAUGGAAGAUGAUUUCAUGUGCGACGAUGAAGAAGAUUAUGAUCUGGAAUAUUCAGAGGACAGUAACUCAGAGCCAAAUGUCGACUUGGAAAACCAGUACUACAAUUCCAAAGCACUGAAGGAGGAUGACCCCAAAGCAGCUCUCAACAGCUUUCAGAAGGUAUUGGAGCUGGAGGGAGAGAAGGGAGAAUGGGGGUUCAAAGCCCUAAAACAGAUGAUCAAAAUCAACUUCAAGCUAACCAACUUCCCAGAGAUGAUGUCUCGGUACAAGCAGCUGUUGACGUACAUCAGGAGCGCUGUGACCAGAAACUACUCAGAGAAGUCCAUCAACUCCAUCCUAGACUACAUCUCCACCUCCAAACAGAUGGACCUGCUGCAGGAGUUUUAUGAAACAACGCUGGAUCUGCUCUGAAGGAUGCCAAGAACGACAGACUCUGGUUCAAAACUAACACAAAGCUGGGCAAGCUGUACCUGGAGAGGGAGGAAUUUGGGAAGUUACAGAAGAUCCUCAGACAGCUGCACCAAUCCUGUCAGACAGAUGACGGGGAGGACGACCUAAAGAAAGGCACCCAGCUCCUGGAGAUCUAUGCUCUGGAGAUCCAGAUGUACACAGCCCAGAAGAACAACAAGAAGCUGAAGGCCCUGUAUGAACAGUCCCUGCACAUCAAGUCUGCUAUCCCUCACCCACUCAUUAUGGGAGUCAUCAGGGAGUGUGGGGGUAAGAUGCACCUGAGAGAGGGGGAGUUUGAGAAGGCCCACACAGACUUCUUUGAGGCGUUUAAGAACUACGAUGAGUCAGGCAGCCCCAGGAGAACCACCUGUCUGAAGUACCUGGUGCUGGCCAACAUGCUCAUGAAGUCUGGAAUCAACCCUUUCGACUCACAGGAGGCCAAACCCUAUAAAAACGACCCAGAGAUCUUGGCCAUGACAAAUCUAGUAAGCUCCUAUCAGAAUAAUGACAUCACAGAGUUUGAGAAGAUACUGAAGACCAACCAUAGCAGUAUCAUGGAUGACCCCUUCAUCAGAGAACACAUAGAGGAGCUGCUGCGGAACAUCAGGACCCAGGUCCUUAUCGCGCUCAUCAAGCCUUACACUAGAAUACACAUCCCAUUCAUCUCUAAGGAGCUGAACAUAGAUGUUUGUGACGUGGAGAGUUUGUUGGUGCAGUGCAUAUUGGACAACACCAUCCAAGGCCGUAUCGACCAGGUCAACCAGCUGUUGGAGCUAGACUACCAGAAGAGAGGAGGGGCGCGCUACACUGCCUUAGACAAAUGGACUAAACAACUCAACUCUCUCAACCAAGCCAUCGUCAGCAAACUCACAUGAUUCUGACUGAUGUGACAAUGGACAGCACUGAAAGAUAGGAAGGAGAAUCUCCAUCAACUGUUCCAAUGUGUCAGAAUAGAAACCAGACGAUCCAGUGUGGAUGGGCUGAGCGGAGAGGAGCUCCACAGCAGCACAGAGAUGUUUUGUGAUCUGACACUGCGUUUCCUAGAGAAGGAGAUAUACUGCUUUCUAGAAGACAUCAGCGCUCUUUAAGGGACAUCUCGGUUUACGUCAAGCCCUUCGUGUUUGUUUUUCACAAGACUUUAGUAGAAUGAUUUAAGAAAUAUCACUGUCAACACCUUUUUAAAAGUGCUGUAUUUUUUUGUGGUGGGCAGUUUGAGUACAAUAACACAAUGGUUUAUUAGUGCCUGUUGACUGGCAGCUGGUGUUGGGAAACCUUUUUCACAACAUGUAGCGGCAGCAUUGCAUUCACGUUGGCUGUUGUGAAUAAAACAAACUAAUGUUCUCCAA